UGGGGAAUUUUGGACAAUGGGCGCAAGCCUGAUCCAGCCAUGCCGCGUGCGGGAAGAAGGCCUUCGGGUUGUAAACCGCUUUUGUCAGGGAAGAAAUCUUCUGAGUUAAUACCUCGGGAGGAUGACGGUACCUGAAGAAUAAGCACCGGCUAACUACGUGCCAGCAGCCGCGGUAAUACGUAGGGUGCAAGCGUUAAUCGGAAUUACUGGGCGUAAAGCGUGCGCAGGCGGUUUUGUAAGACAGAGGUGAAAUCCCCGGGCUCAACCUGGGAACUGCCUUUGUGACUGCAAGGCUUGAGUGCGGCAGAGGGGGGAUGGAAUUCCGCGUGUAGCAGUGAAAUGCGUAGAUAUGCGGAGGAACACCGAUGGCGAAGGCAAUCCCCUGGGCCUGCACUGACGCUCAUGCACGAAAGCGUGGGGAGCAAACAGGAUUAGAUAGCCCUGGUAGUCCACGCCCUAAAACGAUGUCAACUGGUUGUUGGGAAGGUUCCUUCUCAGUAACGUAGCUAACGCGUGAAGUUGACCGCCUGGGGAGUACGGCCGCAAGGUUGAAACUUAAAUGAA
rnacentral:rRNA from 1 species